AUUGAACGCUGGCGGCAGGCCUAACACAUGCAAGUCGAGCGGAUGAGUGGAGCUUGCUCCACGAUUCAGCGGCGGACGGGUGAGUAAUGCCUAGGAAUCUGCCUGGUAGUGGGGGACAACGUUUCGAAAGGAACGCUAAUACCGCAUACGUCCUACGGGAGAAAGCAGGGGACCUUCGGGCCUUGCGCUAUCAGAUGAGCCUAGGUCGGAUUAGCUUGUUGGUGAGGUAAUGGCUCACCAAGGCGACGAUCCGUAACUGGUCUGAGAGGAUGAUCAGUCACACUGGAACUGAGACACGGUCCAGACUCCUACGGGAGGCAGCAGUGGGGAAUAUUGGACAAGGGGCGAAAGCCUGAUCCAGCCAUGCCGCGUGUGUGAAGAAGGUCUUCGGAUUGUAAAGCACUUUAAGUUGGGAGGAAGGGCAGUCAGCGAAUACCUGAUUGUUUUGACGUUACCGACAGAAUAAGCACCGGCUAACUCUGUGCCAGCAGCCGCGGUAAGAC
rnacentral:rRNA from 1 species